AAUGAACGCUGGCGGCGUGCCUAACACAUGCAAGUCGAGCGAGAAAGUCUCUUCGGAGAUAAGUACAGCGGCGGACGGGUGAGUAACGCGUGAGAAUUUACCCUUUAGUGAAGAAUACCUCUGAGAAAUCAGGGUUAAUACUGCAUACGUCCCUACGGGGAGAAAGGUGGCCUCUUUGCUGCCGCUAAAGGAUAAGCUUGCGUACUAUUAGCUAGUUGGUGAGGUAAAGGCUCACCAAGGCGAUGAUGGUUAGCCGGCCUGAGAGGGUGUACGGCCACACUGGAACUUAGACACGGUCCAGACUCCUACGGGAGGCAGCAGUGAGGAAUAUUGCGCAAUGGGCGAAAGCCUGACGCAGCGACGCCGCGUGGAGGAUGAAGGUCUUCGGAUUGUAAACUCCUGUUAAGUGGGAAGAAAGACCUAUUUCUAAUACAAAUAGGGGAUGACGGUACCAUUAGAGAAAGCACCGGCUAAACUUCGUGCCAGCAGCCGCGGUAA
rnacentral:rRNA from 1 species